UUUACUUGCUUGGUAGAGAAAUUGACUGCCCGAUUUGCUAGUAUUCGUAGAUUUUCACCAUAACGUUAAUUGGGUUUUCUUUGAUGGGUGUGCUUUUGGUAUGAGUACCAAAAUUUUCUAUUAGCAUUACUAACCUUUAUGUUUCUGUUUUUAGGAAGCUGAAGAGAGUUUCUUUAAUGGGAACACUGAAACAUAUGCUGGGGUUUUCUAGCCUUGAAGUUGGGAAAUCGAUCGCCUGACCUGCUAGAGUUGGUAAAUUCUACCCCGGAUCAAUGUUUUUGGGUUGUUUUUUACAGGGUUUAUUUUUGGGUAUGUGGUAUCAAAGUACUUUAACUGGCAUUUUUCCUGUGAUUUAUGUUUCAGUUCAUAUCUUGUGAGACAGGUCAAUUGCAUGGUCUCAAUGGAGAACAGUUUUCAGGUUCUGUAUGAUCUCAUCUUGCAAGCUUGCUUGGCAUGCGGCAGCAGAUUUGAUUGCAUAUGUCCAAUUAACUCCUAGCAGGAAGCUAUCCAUCUAGGAGUUUUUGGCCAGAGAAAAUGACAGAUAUGUUUAGCAACCAAAUAACUCAUCUACAUGUGUUUCUAGAAAGGAUGGCUUUUGUUGGAGUAUCAUGACGGCCCAGAUGAUCAGAAUGUUAGCUAUACUUGGGAUGUUUUACUUGGUUAAGGAACUUGGUUGUCAGGAAUGAGGGAGGCCAUUGUUGAAACUGGUCGCGGUGUAGCGACCUAGUUCUGCUAGACUUCUCUCAUGUUUGAAAGCUUUAAUAGAGGAAGAUUUGUAAUACUAUGAGAUUGUUUGUAGAAUUGGGGGCGAUUGGGAAGAACAGUUGUGGGCUGAGUUUUAAUUUUCAUCCUUUUUCUUCCUUCGCUUUGUUUGGAGAGGGAUUGUUGUUUUUCUUCAUUUUACAACUUCAAAGUAAAACUCUUAAAAUACAAUUUGUGUAGAAGUACAUAUGGAUAUUUUUUUGGUU